UGGCCCGCUGCAGCCCCGGCCCUCCACCUUCCCUUUGCAGGGGAGGCCCGGCCAGUGUGACUCAUCCCGGGGCGCUCCCCUCUCCCAUCCGCGACUGCCCCGCGGAGCUGUCUCGGAAACCUAACUUUGCCACUUCGCGGGUCGUCACUGCUGGGCGCGAACCUGCCCACCCACCGGUUGGCUACGCGCUCGGGGACUGUUCUUGUGGCCCCCAAGCGGGUGCCCUCAUUCUGGAGCGCAGCGAGUAGGGGGCGGCUCUGGGGAAGUGGCAGGGGGCGGCUGCAGCUGCUGCUUCCACUUCCCUAGCCAGGUGCUGAAGAGGAUCCUCGGAGCCGCUCUGGCCCCCAGGCACUGGAUGACUGGCACCAGCGCGCCCCGCACCUGUGUUGGUGUGUGAGACGUGGGCCAGAGUGCCCACAUGGCUGUGGAGUCAGUGUGAUUCAUGAUUGAGGAAACGCGGCCUCCACCCUCUCUCUCCUUGGCACUUUCCACACAUGAGGGGAAGAAGAGCUUCUGUUUAGAAGACACGAGCCCAGAGUCAGAGGCCCCUUGCCC